CUGGAGCACAAGUGCAAUGAUUCAAGUGCUAGUCAUGCCUGCCUCUGCAGGUACAAGACCAUGGCAGGCAGUGCUGGAAACUCUCGGUAAUUCCUCUGGUUAAGUUUGAGUUUCAGUGGAAGAGAGGUGCUUCAGGAGGCUGCUGUGAUGGAUUUUCGAAUAAAGAUAAAAGUCCUUGUUCUCUGGAUGGAUUUGAAUCCAAACCCCGUGUUCCUUCAUAGUUCUUUCUUAACAAGCCUUUCUCAGCCAUGUCGCUUUACAAGUGUCCUAUACUGCAGGACAAUCUGGAUACAUCAGCACACAUUAAGGAUACUUUAUCUGUAUGCUCCACGUCUGACACACAAAAUAUGUCAUCCAAAUAUAAGAAAAUAAAAGUCUGCGGUACAGGAAAGGAAUCUUCAAGAUGCUUUGGAAAGAAGAAGAGCAAUAGGUAUGGC
rnacentral:lncRNA from 1 species